rnacentral:rRNA from 1 species
UACGUAGGGGUCCGAGCGUUGUCCGGAAUUACUGGGCGUAAAGAGCUCGUAGGUGGUUUGUCGCGUUGUCCGUGAAAACUCACAGCUCAACUGUGGGCGUGCGGGCGAUACGGGCAGACUGGAGUACUGCAGGGGAGACUGGAAUUCCUGGUGUAGCGGUGGAAUGCGCAGAUAUCAGGAGGAACACCGGUGGCGAAGGCGGGUCUCUGGGCAGUAACUGACGCUGGAGGAAGCGAAAGCGUGGGGGAGCGAACAGGA